AAUGCUGGCGGCGUGCCUAAUACAUGCAAGUCGAGCGGUAACAGGGCUUCACCGUGUCUUGACGCACUUGGCCAUAGAGCAAGUAGCUGAUUUCGAGAGCACAGUGAAGCUGCUGACGAGCGGCGGACGGCUGAGUAACGCGUGGGAACGGACCCCAAACUGAGGGGAUAACGCACCGAAAGGUGUGCUAAUACCGCAUAUGAUCUUCGGAUUAAAGGAUUUUCCGGUUUGGGACUGGCCUGCGUACGAUUAGAUAGUUGGCGGGGUAAUAGCCCACCAAGUCGACGAUCGUUAGAUGGUUUGAGAAGAUGAUCAUCCAGACUGGGACUGAGACACGGCCCAGACUCCUACGGGAGGCAGCAGUAGGGAAUCUUUCACAAUGGGCGAAAGCCUGAUGGAGCAACGCCGCGUGCAGGAUGACGGCCUUCGGGUUGUAAACUGCUUUUAUAAGCGAGAAAUAUGAUGGUAACUUAUGAAUAAGGACCGGCUAACUACGUGCCAGCAGCGGC
rnacentral:rRNA from 1 species